rnacentral:tRNA from 1 species
AAAAAUUUAGUUAAAAAAUAACAUUAGUUUGUCAAACUAAAAUUAUCAUAAAAAUGAUAUUUUUUA